CCACAACAACGUCAGAGACACCAAAAUCAUCCACCUCAAGUAAAGCAAUGAGAAAAAUAACAUCAACAACACAAACCAAGCAGACAUCAGUGGACAGACAAACACCUACAAACAACAACAAUCCAUCACAACAAGCAGGCUCAUCAUGGCGGUAUGUUGUUGUCUCUUUGGGUUUAACAGCACUCCUGAUUUCUGUCAUUACAAUCAACUUGUGGACAAAAACUACAGGUGAGAACUUCUAAAACUGAAAUUUAAAAAGCAUGAAUGUUUAUAUCUGAAACCACAGUCUCUGUUUUCUCUGUUUUUUUUACUUUCAGGAAGCAAGACAACAAUGCUAAAUGCUGUAUACAGUGAUGAAGAUGAAGAUGAAGGUAUAGUGCAGUAUGAAAACGUUGGAGAGCCCUCUGUUUCUGUCCGACUCCACUGAUCAACAACUUCAACAUCAAAUCUCCACAGAAAUGAGUCCACUGCUGUAAAGUUCAUCCCAACAUAUUUUACACCCA